CUAAGGACACUUCGACAUGCAGACUGGAGGGGAUCGAACCUACAAUCUCCUGAUUAGCGGAUGACCCGCUCUACCUCCGAGCCACAGCCACCCUACCUACCUCACCGUGUUUGGCUGCAGUCGCUGUCAGUCUACAGAUCAGCCACCGACUGUCGCAAAUCAACCAAUGAGGCCGCUGCACAGAUGGUUCUUUCUGCAUAUUAAGCCCCAUCCAUCACUCCACCCCCUUCAGACAAUGGCUGAGAUGGUGAAGGCUCAGGAGUACAACACCACCAUCAUCUAACACCACCUCCACCUGAUCCCACCCUCUGCCUGCUGAAGAACCAAUGGAUGAUGUCAUCACAUACUGAUGAUGUCAUAU